rnacentral:rRNA from 1 species
AGUGAACGCUGGCGGUAGGCCUAACACAUGCAAGUCGAACGGCAGCACAGUAAGAGCUUGCUCUUACGGGUGGCGAGUGGCGGACGGGUGAGGAAUACAUCGGAAUCUACUUUUUCGUGGAGGAUAACGUAGGGAAACUUACGCUAAUACCGCAUACGACCUACGGGUGAAAGCAGGGGAUCUUCGGACCUUGCGCGAUUGAAUGAGCCGAUGUCGGAUUAGCUAGUUGGCGGGGUAAAGGCCCACCAAGGCGACGAUCCGUAGCUGGUCUGAGAGGAUGAUCAGCCACACUGGAACUGAGACACGGUCCAGACUCCUACGGGAGGCAGCAGUGGGGAAUAUUGGACAAUGGGCGCAAGCCUGAUCCAGCCAUACCGCGUGGGUGAAGAAGGCCUUCGGGUUGUAAAGCCCUUUUGUUGGGAAAGAAAAGCAGCAGGUUAAUACCCCGCUGUUCUGACGGUACCCAAAGAGUAAGCACCGGCUAACUUCGUG